UAUACUAAAGUUGUUGCGGUUAAAAAGCUCGUAGUUGGAUUUCAGUUCCGCAGCGACGGUGCGCCUCAUGGCGACUUACUGUCGUUUGCGAACAGCUCUAGUCGGCUUGCACGGGGUUCCCUUUACCGGGUGUCCCGCGUGGCCGUCAAUGUUACUUUGAAAAAAUUAGAGUGCUUAAAGCAGGCGUUUGCCUGAAUAGUUGUGCAUGGAAUAAUGGAAUAGGACCUCGGUUCUAUUUUGUUGGUUUUAAGAACCCGAGCUAAUGAUUAAUAGAGACGGGCGGGGGCAUUCGUAUUGCAGCGCUAGAGGUGAAAUUCUUGGACCGUUGCAAGACGUACUACAGCGAAAGCAUUUGCCAAGCACGUUCUCUUUAAUCAAGAACGAAAGUCAGAGGUUCGAAGGCGAUCAGAUACCGCCCUAGUUCUGACCACAAACUGUGCUAAUCAGUAAUCUGCUCUUUGUUAAUCCCAUGACUGAGCAGGCGACUUCCGGGAAACCAAAAUGUUUGAGUUCCGGGGGAAGUAUGGUUGCAAAGCUGAAACUUAAAGGAAUUGACGGAAGGGCACCACCAGGAGUGGAGCCUGCGGCUUAAUUUGACUCAACACGGGGAACCUCACCAGGCCCGGACACUGGAAGGAUUGACAGAUUGAGAGCUCUUUCUCGAUUCAGUGGGUGGUGGUGCAUGGCCGUUCUUAGUUGGUGGAGCGAUUUGUCUGGUUAAUUCCGAUAACGAACGAGACUCUAGCCUACUAACUAGUCGUGGAGUCCACGUGCUCCGCGUAGCUUCUUAGAGGGAUAAGCGGCGUCUAGCCGC
rnacentral:rRNA from 1 species